CAGCUUGACUUGAUUAUUCCGUGUCCUGCACUCUGGCAUCAGCAAGAAGAGAUCUUGACCUUCCUCUUUGGGACAGCCUUGGAGGUCCUUAUAGAGGCAUAUCAUUCUCUUGCAAAAACAACACAGCCCUUUGCAUGUUUCUUAUGCUAUUCGUCAAACAGCCACAAUUUUCAGCCGGGCCUGUUCUAUGCUUCUCUCAUGUCUCAGAACUGUGCAAAUAUUUUUAGGGGGGACCACAGGUUUUAAUGGUGGUGCCGGUCACAAGGGUUUUAAGAACUAGGUUAUGAAAAGAUCGUAAAAGAUCCAGCCAUCUGCACUGCUGGAGUCAGAGCUAUGGGUCAACACACGAUUUGGGCCGAUGCACAGGGUUUGCCCAAAUCCAAGGGAGUUUAUGCUGCACAGUCCUCUGCAAGAUGGGCUGCCCGAUCGUGAACAGCUUCCAAACUGGUUUCCGAAGCGCAUGGAUGUGUCUUGUCAAAGCACGCAAGUGACAAAGGAUCGGGAGCUUCUGUUCAAUCAAUACAUUGAAACCCCCUUUCCAUCAGCUCCCAGAACCUGUUUCUCGGGUAUCUGGAUUCUGUCCAAUGCUGUGCCAUGAACUCUAAAGCGAUCAGAAGCAGUGCCUCUCUUUCUCGCAACUAUCUGCACCCUUAUUUUAUCCUCCGAAUGCCCUUUGUGUGCCCAAGAUCAGUAUUAGCUGCUCUCAGUGAAAUGCCUGCAACUCUGUUGAGAAAUACUUCGGUCUUUUCACUCUUGUUCUCUGUCCUGUCUACUGUACCUAGGAAGUUCUGUGGGAACCGUCGCUCACCCAGUGAAGAGCUAAUUAUAGGCCUCAGCAUUAGGCUUCCUUUGUUCGAUCUGCUCCAACCAAAUCCAGAAAAGAACAUAAUGAGACACAAAUUAGCAACUCUUGGAAACUCCGGAAUUUCUGAUGAGGAAAAGCCAUUUAUGUUAGAUGCGUUCGACCUUUAGGAAAAUAACGGAGCAAAUCUGUCUGACGCCAGAGCUGAUUCACAGCAGAAUUCAGUCAUAAUUUCUGGAACAUUCGAGUAGGUGAAGUUUAUGGGGAGCAGCAAUACUGAUCUUUAUUGUACUCGUUUCUUAUCUUGUACGAUCACUAGCCAUCUAUUUCCUACCCCUUCUCUGGGCAAGCUGGAUGUGCUUGCUGUUAACUUUCAUUGUCUAAGUUUCAGUCACCUUCUAGCUAUGCUAAUUAUGCCCGCAGGAAAACGGCUACCUCAGGAAUGGGUGGAGAAGAGGGAUUUGUCAGGCUUGCACCGCAUUUGAGUGUGUCACUGGCGCUCACAAUAGUUCUACUGGCACUUUGACCCGGUAACGUAAAUUUUUCCUUUGUCCUUGGAUGUCAGCAGCGAACUGCUCUGAGAGGAAAAAACAGCCGCUGAUGCUUCCUUUGUCAUGACAGCAACGAAGGAAAGACGUUCAUGACGCAAACAGGGCAGUCCAAACAACCCUGCGUGGUCACAGAGAAGUAACACCAGGGAGCUAUUUUGAAAGCGGACAAAUCUGAUUAGAGUAGAAGUAACUGUGAACUUACUUUGAAGACCUGCAAGCUGCAGUGGAGCGUCUGGUUAUGCCAAUGUCUCCAAAGCAGAGCAGAGGCUUAAAAAUGCAGGCGCUGGUCAUUUUCAGUGAGAAAUAGCAAGCAAAAAACUCGAUGAUGCAUGCUCGGGUGCUUGCACUGUGGUGGAGCAAGAGCAGGUGAGGCCUUUGUGAAGGACGUAGUUUAAAGCAAGGAAUACACUUUGCUGGACGUUGCACCUGGAGUAAGCCAAACGACACCAGAGCAUUCUGCACAGACGGACUUUUACAGAUGGGCUUUUCUCAAUGCUCUGGGAUAAUAGGCAACCAAGUACUUACUGUCAUUUAUCCGUUCUUCCUCCUUAAACUGUUCCAACAGGUGCUGCGCCCUCCUUUCUGGAUCCGAGCCCGGCAUGGUCCGUGUCAGAUAACCCAGAAGUUUCUGCAAGCAAAAGUACUGAGGCGGCUCUUGGAAAUCUUCCGCGCACUGAUCCAGCCAGGCUCUCAGGAUGGAUGCGAUGGCGCUGCAGGGAAACACGCAGGGAGAGGGUCGAUGCUCGCCAAGAUUCCCAGGCUGUUUUGCAAAAGCCUGCACAAAACGUCUAGACACCAGGGUCAGAUUGAGGAAGAGCUCUCUGGAUUUCUCUGAGAUGCUCACGCAGAGGGAAGGAGACUAUUCCGCUAGCAUGUCCCCACCCGGUGAGCAUGACUGCCCUCUCUAUGCUCCCAUUACCAGAACAUUAUUCCCAAGAUUAUAUAAGAUUCAUAGAGAGCACUGCAAAGCUCACACGUCUAACUGGGUGCCAGUGAUGUCCCACAGUUCUGAGAGGUUGAAAUUUGUUUUAAAAUUCUAGUGACAUACAUCAUUGUGCAAAUGGAUAUAGCAAGUAAUUAUGAACCAUCCAGGCCCUCUGGAGAUUAAAUGAUUGAAUUUUCUUAUGCGCAUGAGAAUUAUUUUCUAUUCUUACCAAAUAUCUACUUGCAAAAGCAGCGACUCUUCUGCAAUUUCAGCAGAAGCUCAUGUGGGAUGAGAGAGUCAUUACAAAAAUGUUUCUGCAUAAGUUACAAUUUUUUAUUUGUAGAUUUUUGAUGAGAAACAGACUAGAAAUGGUGGGCCCGUUGGCAAAUCCAGGUGUGGCAAAAUGUACAUGUAACUGAAGACUUCUGGAGAAUGGAACUGGCAUGGCUUUUAUCUUUUGUUAUUAUCAGAAGUUGGAACCAAUACAUUGAAGCAAACCAACAGAAGGCGUGUGAUGAAAUGGUAACCAAUCAGAAGAGAGCCUGUAGAAAUGUGUUGGGUUUUCUAAGAACAUGUCUGAUUUUUUUUUACAUACAAAUAUCUUGGCAUUAGUCACCACAAGCCUUCAAGCCUGGAUUCUUCAUUACUUGCCCUACCAAGAGAAAACUUUGUCUCUUCUGUCAGUACAUGUUCAUGUACUCUCUCUCACACACACUCUCUCUCCCCCUGUCUCUCUAUGCAUGUUUGGGCAUCUAUGUUUGUUUACGUGCUUUGAAAAUUGCAAAAAAUAUAAAAUUACUUAACAUUUUAAAGUUCUGGCACCCGUCCUUAAAAUUAAACCUCCUUAUUCUGACCUAAGCAGAAGGGGAAAUUUUCAUCUGAUGCAAUGAUCUAUCUCUGUAUCUAUAUUUCAGAUUUUAAACAGAAUCAGUAGUCUUUCCCUCUACAGAGAAUUUGGGAAUUACAACUUGUGAAGACAACUAGGGACUUCCAAUGCUCUUAUCAAAUCCUCAGUACUCUUUUGGGAAGUUAGGUCAGUUAAACCAUUACAAAACCGGGGCCACUUUGCAGGGUAGAAAGACCCAUCAUUUCAUUUUCACACAAAACUAAACUGUGAAGCUGUAGCAGCACCUGAUUCUGCAACCUUCUCCCAGGUGUUUUUCUAAGUAUCUUCUGAAUUUUUUCCAAUUGUCCACCCAACUCUCCUCUGAAUGUGGGAAAUGUAUCUCAUCCUAAAUAUCAAGCAGAGACUUGUCCAAGAUGUGUCAUCACAGCAAAGGUUGUGCAAAACUAAAUAAGGCACACAGGUGGACUUGAAGCAGAACCAAAGAUGAAAGAUGAAAUUUUCUUGUUAUUUUUAGAACAGGAAAUACAGAAUGAAAAAAGGGCCAUACAAGCCCAGUAGUCGUUAAUAUUUUAAGCUCAGCAGCCCUCAUUGGGAGGAUGUAGGUAUUUGUACAGGAAAGCAGAAAAGACCUAGACAAACAGGAUCAACAAAAUAGCGUGGUUGGCAGGAUGAUGGGAAAUGUGUCAUGCUUUUCCUCUUUCUGAACAGCAUGCCCAUUUCCAGGCAGGAAUUAAUCCAGUCGACAGAGUAAAUCUUGUUCUGCUUUCUGAAAAUAAGCUGUAGCAGGUACAGGGCCCAUCCAAUUGCAUUUUGAAGUCAUGUUCCAGAUAUAUGUGCCAUUCUGAACCUAUACAACACACAGGGGAGCUGGACCGGUUCAGAGACAUUCCUUGAAAUGCCCAGAUUUCAUUUCUUCAUUUAAACAAAACACUCAUUUUACAACGUUUGGGGGAGAUCAAGAAAAAUGAGCACCCAGCACCAUGUCCAGAGUAGAGGUGGGCAACAUGGGGCUGGAGGGAAGCAAUGCAUUCCUAAAACAUCUUUCACAAAACCCAUCAAAUGGCCCUACACCUCGAUCCUUUUUAAGAUUAAUGUAUUUUCUUAGCUGCUGCAAGGAUUUCUGUGUGUAUACUGGAACUGAAAAUGUAGGUCCAGAUGUGUUGUCGAGUGUGUGGAGCUCAGCCCCUGCUUCUGCUUGUGCUCAAGUCUUCUGGGUGGGUUUGUUAUGCCCUCCAGAACAGCUGUUUUGGAGAAGAAAUUCUAGGUUCUGCCUUAAGUAAGGGAUGGUUAAUGCUGCCCCAAAUUCUCUGAUUUUCCUAAGUGUCGCUCCCAAAGCGGAGGAUAGCAAGCCAUUUUUAUAUCCUGUAAAACAGGUUUAACUUGUGCUCCAUUUUACAAAGCAGCUCCACAGGCGACUCAAAAGAACUUGCGUGGGCGGCACGAGGCAGACACAGAUGACAGCUUUUUGAGGGCGCUGAGGAAGGUUGGAAAGUGGGAUCAUGACUUUCUGUGUGCACAUUUUCACCACUGAUAAACGGGCUUUGAAAUGGACUCAGAAGCAUGCAAAACCUAUCAGGCCAUCAGUAGUAAGUCAGACAAAAGAAAUGCAAGUGUCCUUCAUGGGAGAGAAAAGUUCUCUGGCAAGCCCUCCAUGAUCUUUCUCAAAGGCAGGGUGACCAUGUGUCCUGCCUUGCAAGGACAGUCCUCUCUUUGAAGGACUGGCUGGUGCCAUGUUUGACUAAAGACCCAUAAGAAGAGAGAGGGAGCUUGAUGCUGCUUUUCCAAAAUUAGCAAACUGAGCAGACACACCGUCUUCCCCACUAUGGUGACAUGUAUUACAUUUCCACUCAAAACACAAUGUCUAAAUUUCGUAUCUACAAAUAAAUGGGCAUGUAAAAACAAAAAUGCAAAUCUUGUUGGAAAUACAGAAUGAAAACCCUUGUUGAAAAGAUGCUUCCUGGGCAGAUUUUUUGGCAGUGCUUAUGUGGCCAUCCUCUGGAACUGAUACCGACUGGAAGUACAUGAUCCAACAAACCAUGAUGAGCUGCUGCCCAUGAUGGUUUGCCGUGCUGUGCAAACCCAGACAGCCCAUUUCUUGGUCUUGCACCUGCCUUGGACUGCUGUGUGUCAAGAGCCGGGUCUCCUCUUUAUCCCUUUCAAACAACAGGCAUUCCAAUUGCACAAGCACCCUUUGUUUUCAAAACACAGCUAGCAAACCGUAGCAACCAGAGAGUCCCUGUGCAUAAACAGGGGGGUUCAUGGAACCCAAACUAGAAACUACUCCCGAGAAUCCUACUUUUCAGGUACCCUGGACUGCACCCCACUGGAGAAAAGAUAGCUUCCUGGAUGGAUGAGCCCUCUCCCGAGACCACAUCAUGGAGUCAGGGACCAGAGCAGACUCAUCUCGUUCCUCUGCAUGUCCCCUCCCUGCGGUUCCAAGCCCUGUCCAUUCCCGAGGUCCAUCUGAACACCUGGGGAUGGGGGCCGUGAGAUAACCCCCCUCCUCUUCCAUCUCUCGGUCCACAGCCCUCACUUCCCAGCCCUCACAGUCCUCAUCCGAAGAAUCCGUGCCACCCUGCACCUGGAAAGCACGGCAAGAAUAAUUGCCUCAAUUACCAGGGAUCACCUAACAAAACACCUGGCCAGAGAUGGAAAAACACCUUUAUGUCCUCGCCAGGUGCAGCUGGGCACCCAUCGCUGACAUUUGGAAGCAGUUGGUGCUAGCCUGCUGCCCUCCUUGCUAUGAUUACAAAGAGAUUUUGGCUUGCUGCAGCUUUUUUUUCUUCCUUACUCUGCCCAUUCCCAUCAAACCAUGAAACUUGGCUUCACAGGACCUUUAAAGUGCCUGCACAGCACCCUGGAGGAGCUGCUAGCGGCUGAUGGAACCUUUGGUUCUAAUUCUUUUCAUGCAAAGGAUGCUGUUUAUUUGUUUAUUACGUGCACUGACACGACGAUGGAGGUAUGCAGCUGGACAGGUGUGGGACUUGGAAGCCUCAGCCGAUGCCUGGAGAAUGUCCUGGGGAAUACCUACUGCCAGGCAAGGCAGGGAUCAACCCCGGGCACCACCACCAAGAGGCUCCAGGUAGUUCUCCCCACCUCCGUUCGGUUUCUUUUGAUAGCUGUUAAAGAGGCAGCCGUCAAGACAAACCAAAGGCAUGACUGAUCUUUGCUCACAAAAAGGGGACUUAAAGUUCAAUUUGUACCGGCAAGAUCCUCCACUUAAUAAAAAAAAUCACCCAGGGUGGCAAACCUGGGAUUCCUGCUUCCCAUUGCCUUUUCUUGAGGAAAAUAGUUUUGAAUUUUAUUCCAAUUAUGUGCCGGUCUCAAAGGUAAAACAAAUGCCAAAAUACACGGAUGACCAAGAGUAAAACAGCCGCUGGUAGAGUUAGGAAGCAAGGGAUAACAGGAUGUGGAUUUUGCUGCAAAGGUGCUUGGGAUGCAUCCUGGAGGAGGGGGCAGGGGGAGCUAGAAGAACAGCUGGACGAAUCCGGGCUGCUGAGCUUAGCCACACGGGGAUUUAGUGUGAUGUGCAAGCAAGCCCCUGUCCAUCUUCCGCCUAAGAGAUUUGGGGGUGACCCGGAAUGGGGGAGCCACGAGCCAGUCCCACGCCGGAACGGCAUGUGCUGUACACAUAUCAGACGUACACACAAUUCCUGCCUUCACACUCCGUCCUGGAAUGCGGGAGGAACUCUGCAGCUGCACUCGCAGGGGAACCAGCGCUGCCACCGGCUCCGAUCCGUCCUCCACUCCGUUGGGCCCUUAAACGACAAGCUCUGCCAACAGCGCUUAGCGCUCACUGACUUCCUAUCAGCUGACUGGCUAAUCUGAGAGCAGCGCUCUCUGGAAAAAGGCUGGGCAAGUGCCCAAACUGUGCAGCAGCUUUACGGUUGAUGUCCCUGAAGAGCAACUUGCUGUUCCAGUGCGACUAGGACACAGAUAGGGCUAGGAGGCUUCCAGGAUCUCAGAGAGACAACUGACAUCACGAGGGAAGGCUGCUUGGUGUGAAGCCUGUAAUACACCUCACUCUGUGCAUUGUUCAUUUGCUCCCAGUGCAAUUUAUAGCACUUGUCUUGGCCACUGCACAUCUUGGGAUCUUAGUCACGCUUUUGGAAGGCUCGGGCCUGGAGGGGCAGGUGAGAAGCUUCAGCUUCACAGAUUUGACACGGUACACCCACACCCUUUGGGGAGCCAAGAUCCACCUCUUGAUAACAUCCUGCGUAGGCACAGCAAUCCAGGUCUGGGGAAGGGGAAGAGAGGAAGAACAGCUCAGUCUGCAAACAGUUGGAAUUAACCUAGCCUUCGCUCUGGAAUUCGCUUUUUGUUUGCUUUGUAAUGAAACCAACCCAUGGAAGGAUGGUCAACUUGCAUAUUUGGACUCCCAUCAGUGCUGGGACCAGCUCUCUGUGGUGAAGUGCCUCUCCUUGCCCAUCAGCUACCAAAACAUACACAUCUGUUUGUGUCAGACACAAAGAGGGGGGAGAUUUUCCUAUGGCAGCAAGAGAGAAAUGGAGAGGAUUUGACAUGCAGGAGACAGGAAAGGCAGAAUUUAGCCUAAGUGACCACAAAUGGCUGCCUGUGGUUCCCAUGCGGUCUCCCUCCAAGCAUUGACCAGGCCUGGACCUGUCUGGCUUCAACAUGCUGGCCUGCCUCAGAAGCCUUCAGGGCCAAAGUUGGUGAGAUACUGGUGGUCCUUCCUAGUCAGAUCACCCACCUCUUGAAUGGAAAGCAAACGGUGCAGAAGCCAAUUCAAGGGGGAAGCAUCCUGCUCGUUUUCUUGUGGAAAAGCCACUCCCACCCUCCCUUAAGGCAGGUAAUUACCAGUGGACAAAAUUUACAGGUCGUGGGACAACCUGCUAUCCACACACACACACGGAGCAGGACUGGAAUAAAAAUGAAACAUUGAUGUUGAGUAUAAAAAUACGCAUCAACUGGGUUGUUGGAAGGAUCAAAUGGGGAAGCGGAAGAGGGUUAUGUAAACCUGUUUGCAUCCCCUGGAAGAAAAAGGGUGGGAUAGAAAUGUAAUAAAUAAAUAUUAUGCAGCAAAUUCACAUUUGUAUAUUUUGUCCUUACAGUGACUAAUUUCCUUAUGAAAUGCAUGAGCUCUCAAAAAAGAUAAAUCCAUUUUUUAUUUUUUUAUUUUUUUUGAGGAGAGAAAAAUGCCUUCAGCAGAAAUGUAGUUCAAUUGUGUCUCUGGAUUGACUUAGAAACUAAGAGGUCAGGAAAGAGUUGCCCAAAGUCAGAAGGGAAUGAAUGACUUAGUUUGGAGCCAUGCCCAGGAAUCCUCUGGCUCGCAGCCAGUUUUUCUACUCCCCCAUAUUAUGGCAUAGUCUCCCUGGCAUAUUUUACAUAGCUUAAAUUAUCUGAUGAGCUACAACGAGAGCUUCAUGACAAAGGGGCAGAAUGAGAGAACAGUGUUAGUUGUAUUUUCUGCCAAGCAUUGGAAAAUCAAACCGGCAAAGCUAAGAAGCCUAGUGUACAUGCCAAGACCAUCCAUUUCUCAAGACCUGAAAGGUUAAUCCAUUUGCCUGAAGCCAAACUAGUCUUUCAGAAAGGACAAGGAAUUAAGAUUCUGGGCCUUGCGAGAUGUAGGAAUGGAUUCCCAGCACGCACAGUGCUUGGCCACAUUCCCACCAUCACGAGCGGGAAGAGAAACCAGGGCGGCUUCUUUUCCUCACAUGAGGUUGCACACUGCAAAUCCCACAAUUGCAUCCAUGCGGCUUAUUUUGCUGUGUUGUCUGAACCCAGUGCGAUGAGCAGAAGGGGGUGGCGCCCAAACCUUCCCCGGAACCUAGAACAAUUCACGGGUUCUAGAGUGGUUUGCAAGCAAUUCCUGUUUUGCACUUCACCAGGUUCAGAUGACCUGGCAACCUAUCAUGGAGAGUGCAGGACGAGGAAAAGAAGCCACGUGGAGCAUGUGAACUGGAAUUUUAAGUUUUAGAAGCAGGGUGAUCUAGUGGCUAGAGUACCGGACUGGAGCAGGGAUUGACAAGGUCCAAAUAUCUCCCCAGUCAUGGAGCUCACCGGUCUUAGACUAGCCACCAUCCCUGCCUCAACUCAAUUUAUUUCAUGGCGCAUAUGAAGGAAAACACAUAUGCUGCAUGCGCUGAGUUCUUUUGAGGAAGGAACUGGUUUGCUAUGAUAAGUGGAAGGAAAUACAAACUAACAUGUAGUUAAUGUUAUCCCCGCACCUGAACUACUGGUUUGCAGUGAGAAAUAGAGCAAACAGCAAAAGGGCACUUCUGGGUCCUGGAGCAUUAAAUGUCCCUCCAAAUUUGCUGGACUGUCUAUAAGUAAACAGCCCAGUGUAGCCAGCUGCACUUAUUCUGGGGCCGUCCACGGCCCGAAACAGCCAUCAUUUUAUUCCAUGCCGGCAAGAGUCCCGACUGCAGUACACCCACCCUCUGCAAACCUUUCCCACCUCUGGGUUGAACUUGGGGAUCAGAUUUGGUCCAUAAGACUAAGGUGAUACCAAACUCAGGGAGCAGGAAACUACAGAGCCGCUGGCAGGAUUUAGCGGGGCAGAGAGAACCGAGGAAGGCCUCUGCUUUGAUACCCAGCAAGCACCACCCAAACCAGCGACAAGUCACGCAACAACUGGCACCAUACUGAGGCCGUGGGGCUGUGUGCAUGGGUGUCCUUCCCCUGCCAUCAUGCAACUGCUUGCACACGACUAUGCGUGCUGUCGUGCGCACAUGCUCUGGUGAGAUUCCUGGGCACACAGGAGAAAUGGGCUGUUUUGGUGGGACUGAUAGCUCAGACUCAGGCCGACGUGGAGUUGGCUCAACCAGGUGAGGCUCAGAGCUCACCCCCAGAUAGCAGAAUUGUGGUGGUAAGAGACAGCCCGCACCUGCAGACCCCCCUCCGCAGUGCCAGUCCGGGCCUGCUCUGGAUGUAAGUAGCCACGGACACUCGUGGGGCCCGGUCUCCCUCCUGCCUGUGGGGAUGGAGCAGACAAAGGACGGAGGGAGGGGAGAUGUGGAAUUGGGUAGUCUCUCGGACGGAGAAUGCCUGCCUCCUGAAGACGUGGGCCCAGGGGCCCUUCAUCACAGCUGCAGCCUGGCCCAGUGGGGGGCUCAGAGGGCAGGACCCCUCCUUCCAGGGACCGGCCCCGAAGGGCUCAUAAGCAAAGCUUUGGGGGAAGGGGGGCAGAGAGGGGUCAACACUUCUCCUGUGUGCUCCAAGGCUUGCGAAUGUUCAGAGCUUUCUGUGUAGAAUAAAGAAGCUGACCAGAAGGGCUGGAGAGACAGUCUUGCUUGGGAAGGGAUGCCUAGCUCAUGACCCUUGCUUAGAUUAGUUGAAUUCUUCCUUUCUGCUUAGCUCAGACCCUUGUUUCCACUAGAGCAACAUCGUUUCCACCAGCAGGUCAUCACAGCUGGAUAUUGCCUCUUACUUUACAUGCAGUGCUUGUCCCGAUCCAAAGAGAGAUGAUUAGCUAGGUACAAAAGAAGUGCACGCCUUCUCAGGAAGGCCGGCUCACACACCCAGAGUGGAAAGCCCAAGUGACUCAUUUCCCAUUCCUUCUCCAGAGCACCAUCUCAUCCACAACACCACCUUCCCCAUUUUCCCCAUCUGAGAAUCGUACACCCUGACCUCAUAGUGAGAACUUGUCCAUCUCCUGGAUGGGAAAGAUACGAAAACUGAUUUCCGGGCAUGAUGGUGCAUUGGAAGAGGAAGAGGCACGAGGAGUUUCCAUGUCGUAUUUACCGCACGACACAGGCACAUGCAAAACGGACUC